GCAGUGGGGAAUUUUGGACAAUGGGCGAAAGCCUGAUCCAGCAAUGCCGCGUGUGUGAAGAAGGCCUUCGGGUUGUAAAGCACUUUUGUCCGGAAAGAAAUCCUUGGCUCUAAUACAGUCGGGGGAUGACGGUACCGGAAGAAUAAGCACCGGCUAACUACGUGCCAGCAGCCGCGGUAAUACGUAGGGUGCGAGCGUUAAUCGGAAUUACUGGGCGUAAAGCGUGCGCAGGCGGUUUGCUAAGACCGAUGUGAAAUCCCCGGGCUCAACCUGGGAACUGCAUUGGUGACUGGCAGGCUAGAGUAUGGCAGAGGGGGGUAGAAUUCCACGUGUAGCAGUGAAAUGCGUAGAGAUGUGGAGGAAUACCGAUGGCGAAGGCAGCCCCCUGGGCCAAUACUGACGCUCAUGCACGAAAGCGUGGGGAGCAAACAGGAUUAGAUACCCUGGUAGUCCACGCCCUAAACGAUGUCAACUAGUUGUUGGGGAUUCAUUUCCUUAGUAACGUAGCUAACGCGUGAAGUUGACCGCCUGGGGAGUACGGUCGCAAGAUUAAAACUCAAAGGAAUUGACGGGGACCCGCACAAGCGGUGGAUGAUGUGGAUUAAUUCGAUGCAACGCGAAAAACCUUACCUACCCUUGACAUGGUCGGAAUCCCGCUGAGAGGUGGGAGUGCUCGAAAGAGAACCGGCGCACAGGUGCUGCAUGGCUGUCGUCAGCUCGUGUCGUGAGAUGUUGGGUUAAGUCCCGCAACGAGCGCAACCCUUGUCCUUAGUUGCUACGCAAGAGCACUCUAAGGAGACUGCCGGUGACAAACCGGAGGAAGGUGGGGAUGACGUCAAGUCCUCAUGGCCCUUAUGGGUAGGGCUUCACACGUCAUACAAUGGUCGGAGCAGAGGGUUGCCAACCCGCGAGGGGGAGCUAAUCCCAGAAAACCGAUCGUAGUCCGGAUUGCACUCUGCAACUCGAGUGCAUGAAGCUGGAAUCGCUAGUAAUCGCGGAUCAGCAUGCCGCGGUG
rnacentral:rRNA from 1 species